CCUACGGGAGGCAGCAGUGGGGAAUAUUGGACAAUGGGCGCAAGCCUGAUCCAGCCAUACCGCGUGUGUGAAGAAGGCCUUCGGGUUGUAAAGCACUUUAAGCAGGGAGAAAAAGUUAUAAGUUAAUACCUUAUAACCGUGAUGUUACCUGCAGAAUAAGCACCGGCUAAUUCCGUGCCAGCAGCCGCGGUAAUA
rnacentral:rRNA from 1 species